UCUCCCAGACAAGGAUGGGGAGGAAUCUGUACAUCUGUCCUCCCAGCAGGUGGUCACCCCCUUCCCCGAGUCAGGGGUGUGUGUCACCUGUCCCUCUCCCCAAGGGGAUCUGGGUGUCAUCUGUUGGUCCUUCCAGUUCAUUUUCAUCCAGUCCCCACAUCACACCCUGCAGUAUCUUCCAGAGAACCCAGCCCAGCCAUCAGGUGCAUGCUGUGUCUCAACCUGCCUUCCUGACUCACUUUGCUAACAGGAUCAGGGAGACAGGUGCAGAGACUCUUCCUCCAUUUCCUCUGGCCCGUCGGAGCUGGGAAAAGCAGGAGGGUCCAGGUACAGAGAAAGUUAAAAACAGGAAACAGAACGGUAGGAUGCAUAGGGAGGGACAGAAGCCAGAGACCUGCUAAAGACUUUUUUUUUUUCUUUUUGAAGCAU